UUGUCUCUCUUGAGUGGAUCCUGAGUACGACGGAGCACGUGAAAUUCCGUCGGAAUCUGGGAGGACCAUCUCCUAAGGCUAAAUACUCUCUAGUGACCGAUAGUGAACCAGUACCGUGAGGGAAAGGUGAAAAGCACCCCGGAAGGGGAGUGAAAUAGAACCUGAAACCGUGUGCUUACAAGUAGUCAGAGCCCGUUAAUGGGUGAUGGCGUGCCUUUUGUAGAAUGAACCGGCGAGUUACGAUUUGAUGCAAGGUUAAGCAGUAAAUGUGGAGCCGUAGCGAAAGCGAGUCUGAAUAGGGCGUUUAGUAUUUGGUCGUAGACCCGAAACCAGGUGAUCUACCCUUGGUCAGGUUGAAGUUCAGGUAACACUGAAUGGAGGACCGAACCGACUUACGUUGAAAAGUGAGCGGAUGAACUGAGGGUAGCGGAGAAAUUCCAAUCGAACCUGGAGAUAGCUGGUUCUCUCCGAAAUAGCUUUAGGGCUAGCCUCAAGUGAUGAUUAUUGGAGGUAGAGCACUGUUUGGACGAGGGGCCCCUCUCGGGUUACCGAAUUCAGACAAACUCCGAAUGCCAAUUAAUUUAACUUGGGAGUCAGAACAUGGGUGAUAAGGUCCGUGUUCGAAAGGGAAACAGCCCAGACCACCAGCUAAGGUCCCAAAAUAUAUGUUAAGUGGAAAAGGAUGUGGCGUUGCCCAGACAACUAGGAUGUUGGCUUAGAAGCAGCCAUCAUUUAAAGAGUGCGUAAUAGCUCACUAGUCGAGU
rnacentral:rRNA from 1 species